rnacentral:rRNA from 1 species
GACGAACGCUGGCGGCGUGCUUAACACAUGCAAGUCGAACGGAAAGGCCCUGCUUUUGUGGGGUGCUCGAGUGGCGAACGGGUGAGUAACACGUGAGUAACCUGCCCUUGACUUUGGGAUAACUUCAGGAAACUGGGGCUAAUACCGGAUAGGAGCUCCUGCUGCAUGGUGGGGGUGGGAAAGUUUCGGCGGUUGGGGAUGGACUCGCGGCUUAUCAGCUUGUUGGUGGGGUAGUGGCUUACCAAGGCUUUGACGGGUAGCCGGCCUGAGAGGGUGACCGGCCACAUUGGGACUGAGAGACGGCCCAGACUCCUACGGGAGGCAGCAGUGGGGAAUAUUGCACAAUGGGCGGAAGCCUGAUGCAGCAACGCCGCGUGCGGGAUGACGGCCUUCGGGUUGUAAACCGCUUUCGCCUGUGACGAAGCGUGAGUGACGGUAAUGGGUAAAGAAGCACCGGCUAACUACGUG